rnacentral:rRNA from 1 species
UAGGGAAUAUUAGAGAUGGACGAAAGUCUGAUCUAGCAACACCGCGUGUGCGAAGAAGGCCUUCGGGUCGUAAAGCACUUUUUGGAAGGAAUAGGAAGGAAUGUACUUCCAGAAUAAGUCUCGGCUAACUACGUGCCAGCAGCCGCGGUAACACGUAGGAGGCAAACGUUAUCCGGAUUUACUGGGCGUAAAGCGCGUGUAGGUGGUACUGUAAGUAGGGCGUGAAAGCUCCUGGCUCAACUGGGAGAGGCCGUUCUAAACUACAGAACUAGAGGAUGGUAGAGGGAGGUGGAAUUCUAGGUGUAGCGGUGGAAUGCGCAGAUAUCUGGAGGAACACCGGUGGCGAAGGCGGCCUCCUGGACCAUUCCUGACACUCAGACGCGAAAGCUAGGGUAGCAAACG